UUUGGUAAGAGAUAUAUAACAAAAGUUGUGUGUAAUUACGAGAGCUUUCAUAUUAGAUUAAUGAAAAGCGGCUGGCCCCUAUAAUUAGGGGUUAAUAGCUCAUACACGUUUUUUUCUGAUAGCUAAAAAUAUUGGUAUAUUAUGAAAAAGUUUGACUGAAAUAAUUUCGAACUUAUUAAAUCUUGUCAUUUGAUAUAAAAAGAAAUAAACUUCAAGCUAUAUUUAAUUGUUUUUUGUAAUAAAACAAAUAUGUGAGAAACCCUUCAGGAACAAGUUGUCUACUAUAGCCAGCCAAGCCUUUACUGCAUGUGCACAGUUUUAGUUGAUGCAUCUGAAAGAUAUAGUUUUGAUUCGGUGUUUCUCUGUUUUCUUUUUAUUCAAAUAAUUUUAAAGUGUGGUGAUGUACACAACAAUAAUUAGUUUAGAGGAUUUUUUUCGGGGUCUCUUGUUUGUAAACAACGCGCGGCAUUGUGGGAAAUAGGAAGGUACUAAAGACGCGAUGUACUAAAAACUGAUUUGACCUGAUUCAAAAUUGUCUGUAAAUAUUCCAAACAAUUGAAUUUUUGUAUAGCAUAAUGCAUCAAAGUCAUAAAGUCUUUACAUAAUUUAUUUAAAAUACUCAAUAUUAUCAUUUAAUUAAAAAUUAAAACGCCAGGUAAAUAUCAGAUCUUUAGUAUAUCCCGUUUUUAGUGUGCCCCAUCGAGUCGACACAUGUUUACAAACUGAAAAUAGAAAUGAUUUGUGAAGUUGAACAUUUUCUCAUCAUAGAGGCCGUAUGUAGACAUGCAUUCACGCACAUUUAAUCUGCAGCUACGAAGUACUUUGUCACUCCUCUGGGACAUUAUUCUAAGCAGAAUUAUCCCGAUUCAUAUAUUCUAAGAAUCUUGUGUGAAUUGUUUACGAGGAAAUUCCGACUGUCACAUUAACAAGGAUGAACACUCUCGACUCUGCUUGGGAUUUCCCAGUGAUAAUUGUAUCGAGUGCUGAAAGAGCUGACGGCGACAUUUUAAUGUAUGAUUGGCUUGGACCAUUGAAAUGAAGUCAUUUUAUGGUGCCACCACUUGGGAUAGUAUUAGCUGCAAAUAUAGAUUUGUACUCAGCACUUAUUGCCUUUGAGAAGUAUGGGAUCCUCUUUCUGCCAACACCUGCCGUGACACGUCAGAAUCUUGGUUUAUACAGUCUCAUCGGAGUAACCUGUCUCAAGCAUUUAGCAAUGGGAUUGGAACCUGUGACGUGUGACUGUGACUGUCAUCUGAGUACUGAAAUUUGCUGCCAAGCAAUGAUUUGAUCAUGAUUUGCCAGAAGAGCAUCUGUUGGGAGAUCAGAUGACAAAGUAUAAACAGCGUAAUGAAAUUGAAACUGUCAUGUGAAACAGUCUCAGUUUAAGAGGAUGACUUUAAAUAUAGCAUAUUCGAAUUUAGAUUUGAGAAAAAGACAAAUCCACAAUUUGACAAAUAUGAACAUAUCAAUUGCUUUCAGUUUUUCAAGAGAAAUAGAUUUUGUUACAGAAUCUAGUAUGUUUAGUUUGGAAUAAAUGUUCUUGUUAAAUGUGUCAGAUCUUGCAUGUUUACAUAGAUAUGUAUUAAGGUCUUCCGUUUCUAAGGGAAGGCAUACCAAUGCUAAUGGUUAAGAUGAUAAAGCUCUGUCUUCAGCAGCAAUAUUUAAGAUAUAAUAUGUGUAUUUUUACAGUAUUAUUGAAGGAAAGUUACUAUUUUGGCAUAAACAACUACACCAUUAACAUAUGUGCAUUUUUCAGCACAAAGGACAUGUACAUGUUGUUUCAAACAUAAGAUCAAAGAGAUGUCCAGUCAUAUUUCAAAGUCAACAAAGCACUAAAUCUGUAUACAGUUUAACUCAUAUGAGCUUAAAUGCUGUAGUAAUUUUUUUUCUAAAUAAAAGUCACCCAUUAUCAUCUUUGAAUUAAAUUCAUCAGAAUUUCAUGUUCUUCUCAGAACCACAGGACAAUUUAAGUUAAACUUGGCACAGAGCAUUCUUUAGUGAUGGGGAAUAAAAUUUGUUCAUAUGAAGGGCAGUGCUUUUAAAAGGAGAUCUCUUUGUUGAAUGUCCUGUUCAGAGAACUUUACUACACUCUUAUUGAGAUACCACCAUUUGCCAGUUGAGGUC